UGAUGCUACCAAGCUAAUUGCUUAAGCAUUUCAUGGUUUUUGUGGUAUGCAUCCUAUACUGUUCCAUUCAGCCACUGGACUAUAACUCAGAAUCAAAUUUCACUCUUAAUUUUGCCAAAAUUCAAUCAAUAUUGCAUAUCAUUUGAAGGAAUGGAAAUGAGGUGAUUAUUCACACACCCGAGCUCCAACUAAUUUGGUCAUUGCUCCAUUGGUGUGCAGAUUCAACACUCACUUCAGAAUUAUGCAGCAGAAAUUCAAAAUCGCAGAAUCACNAGNAUUAAACAAUGAAAGCAAUUAAACAUGACUAGACAAAAACGGAUCAGAAUUUCAAAAUUAAAAAUACUCAAAGAAAAGGAAUAGACCGAUUAAAAUGAUGGAAAAGAAAACAAUCAAAAGCUGGAACAAAGAAAAAAAUCACACGACAGAAUCUACUGGAACUUGAAAAUUUAAUGGAACAGUGAAACAAAGAAGCAAAGACAGUGCAGGAAAUUCAAUGACAGUGUGGAAUUAAGAAAAUAGACUUAGUUGGAGCAUGAAUCAGCCAACCAUGGCUCUGAAUACCACUUGAUACGGAUGCUCCAACCAGGAAAAUGAACUUAGUCAGCGGAAGAUGGAGAUCUGAAUCAGAGGCAGCGGACAGGUGCAGUAGUAGUGAAACAGCGGAAUGCAAAGGCGUUUGAGUUAGAGGAUUAUAUGUUGUUCAACGGUGAAACAGAGAUGAAUUCAGUGGCGUAGAUGAUGGUUUGAAGAGCUCUACGGUGGAUGGAAGCUAGCUCAGGCAGCCUUCCACUGGAAGGAAGCUAGAUGGGAAAUGGAAAGCUCAAGAGAAAGUGACUUUCGGCAGAAUUCAGUGUGUUGGAAAAUGCAUCAGCAAAGACUAAAUUCAUAGAUAAUCCAAAAGUGUAUUACAUCAAAUGUUGCCAUGAAUAUAUAAGGAAUUCAUGGCCAUGUUCGUGGCUAAUAAUCAUCCUAGAUGCGUGGAUCUGUUGCCACGUGUAUCAAGCAAGGAAAGUGUAGUGUGUCUAGAAGAAAGCACGAAAUACAUGUGCUGCACAUGAAAAAUAAAACAGCUGCAGCAUAUGGGAAUGAGGAUGACAUGUGCUUUCAUGUUGCCACCCCUUCCUUANUAGGCUCACCCCCUUCCUUUGUGGAAAUGACUCUUUUACCCUUCUCCUUG
rnacentral:lncRNA from 1 species